GAUUUAACAAAAUGAUUAGUUCUAUUCGUAAUCGACCGGUCGGGGGUUCGAAUCCCCCAUGGAGCUCCA
rnacentral:tRNA from 1 species